GAGUCAAUGCGUGUGUCAAAACACAUGUAGAGGUUGUUGAGCAUCUCCACCACUUGCAGAGGAGUACAGGACGCAGAGAUAGAGGUGAAGCCCACGAUGUCCGAGAAAAAAAUGGUCACCUGGAACCAAACUGAUUACGAUUGGGGGAAGAAGAGGAAGAAGAUUAUGUGGCAAAAUGAGUGUAAAAAUUAUCCGGGAUCCUAUUCACUGCUACCCUCCCCCUCAACCCUGUGCUUUUGGUACAGCUGCUUCAACCCUCUUCAAUAAGCCAGAUGCAAUUUUCACUCGUAUAACUUGUUUUAUCUCCUGAUGAAUAUGGAACAUGGCAAUUAUAGGCAAUUAUGAUGACAAUAGCAACAAAGGCAGCAAACACACAAAUUCAUUCAUUAUGUUUGUAGAUCUUGCAGAGGCAGCCUUCUCGCAGCAAUCCAUCCAACAACAUUAUAUGCUCUGAAUUUGUUUGGGUAAAUAUUAGAAGUGAACAGGGAGAAGUGUGGUGGGGAAACUUUAUUGUCUAUCUGUCUUCACAGCAUUAUCUGUUUAUACCUGUCAAACCUCAGACCUAGUUGUAUUUGUAUUGAAAUUGUUCCUUGUUGCAGGAGUUUCUCUUAUGGACAUUAAAGCAAAAUACUACAGGC